rnacentral:misc_RNA from 1 species
UCAAACUUGGUCAUUUAGAGGAAGUAAAAGUCGUAACAAGGUAACCGUAGGUGAACCUGCGGUUGGAUCAUUAAUAAAUGAUAGCCAGUUCUCUUUGCUUUGGCAGAGAUCGAGCAGGCAUUAACCCUUUGUGAACUGUAACUAUACAUGGGUAGAAGAUCUUCUCCGGAAGUGACGCUGCCUACUAUUAUAGACCCCUUAUAUGUUUAACUGAAAUGUGAUCUAAGAGAUAUAACUUUUGACAAUGGAUCUCUUGGCUCUCGCAUCGAUGAAGAACGCAGC